GGGGAAGGAGGCCAAUGCUACAAGGGUUAUCUCACAACCUCAGAUGUUGGAUAAGUCGAAGGAGGCAGAAUCACUUCUGGAGACAAUAAGAAAGGCUGAAGUGAUUAUUUGGAAGAGAAAAGUCUGCUUAUUCCUUCCAAGGUAAACAGUUCAUCUGUCAGUG
rnacentral:lncRNA from 1 species